UGAAAAUUGUAUGUUAGAUACUUUGAAAACCUUUCUGUAUAAAGCUAAUAAAUAAUGGUAAAUGAUUUCUUUCUGUUUAUAACAUCACUUGAAAAUAUUGUUGAGAUGGUUUUUACCCUAGCUAGUUCCUUUUGAGGAUUACAUUGUGGACUUAUUUCUUAAAAAGAACGACAUUUCUUAAAUGGUUAUUGAAACUCCUUAAGCACAUUUGAUGUCCUUAACAAAAUUUCAUUUACUCUACAUUAAGUAGUCUGAUUGGUGAUUUAGUAAGCAUAGAAGACACUUAGACACUAAUCAUGGCCUGUUGAAUUAAACUGGUUUUUGUUUUAUGGGGUUUUCUAUGCUUCUUGUAUUCCUUUGUCUAUGUAACCAAAACCAUUAUAUCACUUGACCUUCAAUCAUGAGAAUUAUUCUAUUCUCAACCGAAGUGGCAUGCAGAUGAAGUUUUCAAUUCAGCAAUUUUAUCAUUUGUAGUCUCCAUGAAUAUGUUAUUUGAUUAGCACUGGUGUUUCUAGUUGUAGAUGAUGUUUUUCACCAUAUGAGUUUGUUUUAGUGAUUCUAUCAAGAGUAGAGUGCACCAUUAGUAUCUUAUCAUCAGUUACAUUAGUUUAGAAGCUGAUAAGAGCUUCGCUGAAGCAGUUCAUUGGUGCUGCUGUGGAGCCAUGCAUGAUAAUUAUCACCGAGCUUAUGAGAGCGAUACACUUCAGAAUUACUUGUGGAGCAUGGAUAUAUGUGGUGUUAUGGAAUACUUACAUGGAAAUGGCAUCAUUCACUGCGAUUUGAAACCAAUUAAUGUGUUUGUCUUGUUGCCCUAUAUGAUGAUAAUUACUUGGCUUAUUUUAGAAAAUCUCAUAGACACUUCUGUUUUUUUCCCUUUAUUAUGGUAGGUAAUAUUCUUCUUACGGAUGACAAGGAACAUGUUAAGUUGGCUGACUUUGGACUAGCUAGAGAGGAGAUCUCAGGUGAAAUGACUACUGAAGCUGGUACUUACAGGUGGAUGGCACCUGAGAUAUUCAGCAUUGAACCACUUUCAAUUGGAGCAAAGAAAGUAUAUGAUCACAAGGUGGAUGUCUACAGUUUCUCUAGCAUUCUUUUGGGAAAUACUCACAAAUAAAACCCCAUUCAAGGGCCGGGCAGUGUGAUGGUUGCUUUUGCCACAGCCAAACAUUGAAACUGAUUAUUUGAUUCAACCCUUUUCAUGGAUUCCCAUGGAGCUGGUGUCACUUCUUGAGUCAUGUUGGGUAGAUGAUCCAAAGAGGAGACCAGAGUUCACUUGUUCCCACCAGAGGAACCAACAGAGGAUCUAAUAGAAGAACCAACAGAGGACCCGACUGAGGUCCCAACCAAGGACCCAACUGAGGACCCAACAGCAGUCAUCAAAGAAGCCUCAGCAGCAGUCUUCCAAG